GAUGAACGCUAGCUACAGGCUUAACACAUGCAAGUCGAGGGGAAACGAUAUUGGAAGCUUGCUUCCGAUAGGCGUCGACCGGCGCACGGGUGAGUAACGCGUAUCCAACCUGCCCAUCACUUGGGGAUAACCUUGCGAAAGUAAGACUAAUACCCAAUGACGUCUCUAGAAGACAUCUGAAGGAGAUUAAAGAUUUAUCGGUGAUGGAUGGGGAUGCGUCUGAUUAGCUUGUUGGCGGGGUAACGGCCCACCAAGGCGACGAUCAGUAGGGGUUCUGAGAGGAAGGUCCCCCACAUUGGAACUGAGACACGGUCCAAACUCCUACGGGAGGCAGCAGUGAGGAAUAUUGGUCAAUGGACGAGAGUCUGAACCAGCCAAGUAGCGUGCAGGAUGACGGCCCUAUGGGUUGUAAACUUCUUUUAUAAGGGAAUAAACCCUCCCACGUGUGGGAGCUUGUAUGUACCUUAUGAAUAAGCAUCGGCUAACUCCGUGCCAG
rnacentral:rRNA from 1 species